AUUGAACGCUGGCGGCAGGCCUAACACAUGCAAGUCGAGCGGAUGAAGGGAGCUUGCUCCUGGAUUCAGCGGCGGACGGGUGAGUAAUGCCUAGGAAUCUGCCUGGUAGUGGGGGAUAACGUCCGGAAACGGGCGCUAAUACCGCAUACGUCCUGAGGGAGAAAGUGGGGGAUCUUCGGACCUCACGCUAUCAGAUGAGCCUAGGUCGGAUUAGCUAGUUGGUGGGGUAAAGGCCUACCAAGGCGACGAUCCGUAACUGGUCUGAGAGGAUGAUUAGUCACACUGGAACUGAGACACGGUCCAGACUCCUACGGGAGGCAGCAGUGGGGAAUAUUGGACAAUAGGCGAAAGCCUGAUCCAGCCAUGCCGCGUGUGUGAAGAAGGUCUUCGGAUUGGAAAGCACUUUAAGUUGGGAGGAAGGGCAGUAAGUUAAUACCUUGCUGUUUUGACGUUACCAACAGAAUAAGCACCGGCUAACUUCGUG
rnacentral:rRNA from 1 species